UUAAGCGACUAAGCGUACACGGUGGAUGCCCUGGCAGUCAGAGGCGAUGAAGGACGUGCUAAUCUGCGAUAAGCGUCGGUAAGGUGAUAUGAACCGUUAUAACCGGCGAUUUCCGAAUGGGGAAACCCAGUGUGAUUCGUCACACUAUCAUUAACUGAAUCCAUAGGUUAAUGAGGCGAACCGGGGGAACUGAAACAUCUAAGUACCCCGAGGAAAAGAAAUCAACCGAGAUUCCCCCAGUAGCGGCGAGCGAACGGGGAGCAGCCCAGAGCCUGAAUCAGUGUGUGUGUUAGUGGAAGCGUCUGGAAAGGCGCGCGAUACAGGGUGACAGCCCCGUACACAAAAAUGCACAUGCUGUGAGCUCGAUGAGUAGGGCGGGACACGUGGUAUCCUGUCUGAAUAUGGGGGGACCAUCCUCCAAGGCUAAAUACUCCUGACUGACCGAUAGUGAACCAGUACCGUGAGGGAAAGGCGAAAAGAACCCCGGCGAGGGGAGUGAAAAAGAACCUGAAACCGUGUACGUACAAGCAGUGGGAGCACAGAGCAAUCUGUGUGACUGCGUACCUUUUGUAUAAUGGGUCAGCGACUUAUAUUCUGUAGCAAGGUUAACCGAAUAGGGGAGCCGAAGGGAAACCGAGUCUUAACUGGGCGUUAAGUUGCAGGGUAUAGACCCGAAACCCGGUGAUCUAGCCAUGGGCAGGUUGAAGGUUGGGUAACACUAACUGGAGGACCGAACCGACUAAUGUUGAAAAAUUAGCGGAUGACUUGUGGCUGGGGGUGAAAGGCCAAUCAAACCGGGAGAUAGCUGGUUCUCCCCGAAAGCUAUUUAGGUAGCGCCUCGUGAAUUCAUCUCCGGGGGUAGAGCACUGUUUCGGCAAGGGGGUCAUCCCGACUUACCAACCCGAUGCAAACUGCGAAUACCGGAGAAUGUUAUCACGGGAGACACACGGCGGGUGCUAACGUCCGUCGUGAAGAGGGAAACAACCCAGACCGCCAGCUAAGGUCCCAAAGUCAUGGUUAAGUGGGAAACGAUGUGGGAAGGCCCAGACAGCCAGGAUGUUGGCUUAGAAGCAGCCAUCAUUUAAAGAAAGCGUAAUAGCUCACUGGUCGAGUCGGCCUGCGCGGAAGAUGUAACGGGGCUAAACCAUGCACCGAAGCUGCGGCAGCGACGCUGAUGCGUUGUUGGGUAGGGGAGCGUUCUGUAAGCCUGUGAAGGUGUACUGUGAGGUAUGCUGGAGGUAUCAGAAGUGCGAAUGCUGACAUAAGUAACGAUAAAGCGGGUGAAAAGCCCGCUCGCCGGAAGACCAAGGGUUCCUGUCCAACGUUAAUCGGGGCAGGGUGAGUCGACCCCUAAGGCGAGGCCGAAAGGCGUAGUCGAUGGGAAACAGGUUAAUAUUCCUGUACUUGGUGUUACUGCGAAGGGGGGACGGAGAAGGCUAUGUUGGCCGGGCGACGGUUGUCCCGGUUUAAGCGUGUAGGCUGGUUUUCCAGGCAAAUCCGGAAAAUCAAGGCUGAGGCGUGAUGACGAGGCACUACGGUGCUGAAGCAACAAAUGCCCUGCUUCCAGGAAAAGCCUCUAAGCAUCAGGUAACAUCAAAUCGUACCCCAAACCGACACAGGUGGUCAGGUAGAGAAUACCAAGGCGCUUGAGAGAACUCGGGUGAAGGAACUAGGCAAAAUGGUGCCGUAACUUCGGGAGAAGGCACGCUGAUAUGUAGGUGAAGUCCCUCGCGGAUGGAGCUGAAAUCAGUCGAAGAUACCAGCUGGCUGCAACUGUUUAUUAAAAACACAGCACUGUGCAAACACGAAAGUGGACGUAUACGGUGUGACGCCUGCCCGGUGCCGGAAGGUUAAUUGAUGGGGUUAGCGCAAGCGAAGCUCUUGAUCGAAGCCCCGGUAAACGGCGGCCGUAACUAUAACGGUCCUAAGGUAGCGAAAUUCCUUGUCGGGUAAGUUCCGACCUGCACGAAUGGCGUAAUGAUGGCCAGGCUGUCUCCACCCGAGACUCAGUGAAAUUGAACUCGCUGUGAAGAUGCAGUGUACCCGCGGCAAGACGGAAAGACCCCGUGAACCUUUACUAUAGCUUGACACUGAACAUUGAGCCUUGAUGUGUAGGAUAGGUGGGAGGCUUUGAAGUGUGGACGCCAGUCUGCAUGGAGCCGACCUUGAAAUACCACCCUUUAAUGUUUGAUGUUCUAACGUUGACCCGUGAUCCGGGUUGCGGACAGUGUCUGGUGGGUAGUUUGACUGGGGCGGUCUCCUCCUAAAGAGUAACGGAGGAGCACGAAGGUUGGCUAAUCCUGGUCGGACAUCAGGAGGUUAGUGCAAUGGCAUAAGCCAGCUUGACUGCGAGCGUGACGGCGCGAGCAGGUGCGAAAGCAGGUCAUAGUGAUCCGGUGGUUCUGAAUGGAAGGGCCAUCGCUCAACGGAUAAAAGGUACUCCGGGGAUAACAGGCUGAUACCGCCCAAGAGUUCAUAUCGACGGCGGUGUUUGGCACCUCGAUGUCGGCUCAUCACAUCCUGGGGCUGAAGUAGGUCCCAAGGGUAUGGCUGUUCGCCAUUUAAAGUGGUACGCGAGCUGGGUUUAGAACGUCGUGAGACAGUUCGGUCCCUAUCUGCCGUGGGCGCUGGAGAACUGAGGGGGGCUGCUCCUAGUACGAGAGGACCGGAGUGGACGCAUCACUGGUGUUCGGGUUGUCAUGCCAAUGGCACUGCCCGGUAGCUAAAUGCGGAAGAGAUAAGUGCUGAAAGCAUCUAAGCACGAAACUUGCCCCGAGAUGAGUUCUCCCUGACUCCUUGAGAGUCCUGAAGGAACGUUGAAGACGACGACGUUGAUAGGCCGGGUGUGUAAGCGCAGCGAUGCGUUGAGCUAACCGGUACUAAUGAACCGUGAGGCUUAACCUU
rnacentral:rRNA from 1 species